CCUACGGGUGGCAGCAGUGAGGAAUAUUGGUCAAUGGGCGAAAGUCUGAACCAGCCAAGUAGCGUGAAGGAUGACUGCCCUAUGGGUUGUAAACUUCUUUUAUAUGGGAAUAAAAUGUUCCACGUGUGGGGUUUUGUAUGUACCAUAUGAAUAAGGAUCGGCUAACUCCGUGCCAGCAGCCGCGGUAAUACGGAGGAUCCGAGCGUUAUCCGGAUUUAUUGGGUUUAAAGGGGGCGUAGGGGGAUUGUUAAGUCAGUUGUGAAAGUUUGCGGCUCAACCGUAAAAUUGCAGUUGAAACUGGGAGGCUUGAGUACAGUAGAGGGGGGCGGAAUGCGUGGUGUAGCGGUGAAAUGCUUAGAUAUCACGAAGAACCCCGAUUGCGAAGGCAGCUCACUGAACCGUAACUGACACUGAGGCUCGAAAGCGUGGGUAUCAAACAGGAUUAGAUACCCUAGUAGUC
rnacentral:rRNA from 1 species